CGGGAAGUGGGCAAGUGGUAUGCCGCCAGGUUCGGGACUUGGAUACCGGGGGUUCAAAUCCCCCCUUCCCGA
rnacentral:tRNA from 1 species